AAUAACCAAAUAUAACACUUGGGCUAGUGUUAAGUUGGUUAUUUUUCUUACAUCUCCCCCCCCCAGGAGCCCAGGUGUCAUAUACACCCCCAAAAUAAAGAGCCUUGAAUACUAGAAGAAAAGCACCUAUCCCUAACAAAAUUAGAUGAAUACCUAAAAUUGUGGUCAUUUUAUUUCUAUCUUUCCA
rnacentral:antisense_RNA from 12 species